rnacentral:SRP_RNA from 1 species
GUCGGUCAAGGUGGUGCGUGCCUGUAGUCCCAGCUACUCCGGAGGCUGAGGUGGGAGGAUCGCUUGAGCCCAGGAGUUCUGGGCUGCAGUGCGCUAUGCCGAUCGGGUGUCCACACUAAGUUCAGCAUCAAUAUGGUGACCUCCUGGGAGCGGGGAACCACCAGGUUGCCUAAGGAGGGCUGAACCGGCCCAGGUCGGAAACGGAGCAGGUCAGAACUCCCGUGCUGAUCGGUAGUGGGAUCACGCCUGUGAAUAGCCACUGCACUCCAGCCUGGGCAACACAGCGAGACCCUGUCUCU